UCCGGUGACGAUAGCGGAGGUGCCACACCCGAUCCCAUCCCGAACUCGGUCGUUAAGCCCUCCAGCGCCGAUGGUACUGCACGGUCGCCGUGUGGGAGAGUAGGACGCCGCCGGAU
rfam:Deltaproteobacteria bacterium RIFCSPLOWO2_12_FTLL_57_22 rifcsplowo2_12_scaffold_9331, whole genome shotgun sequence.